rnacentral:rRNA from 1 species
GGCGGCGUGCUUACACAUGCAAGUCGUACGAGAACUCUUCAGCUUGCUAAAGAUAGUAAAGUGGCGCACGGGUGAGUAACGCGUGGGUAAUCUUGCCUCUGAAUCGGGGAUAACAUUGCGAAAGCGAUGCUAAUACCGGAUAACAUCUCAAAACCAUAUGGUUUUGAAAUUAAAAAUGGCCUCUACAUGUAAGCUGUUGUUUGGAGAUGAGCCCGCGUACCAUUAGCUAGUUGGUAGGGUAAUGGCCUACCAAGGCAACGAUGGUUAGCUGGUCUGAGAGGAUGAUCAGCCACACUGGAACUGACACACGGUCCAGACUCCUACGGGAGGCAGCAGUGAGGAAUUUUGCGCAAUGGGGGAAACCCUGACGCAGCAACGCCGCGUGAGUGAUGAAGGCCCUCGGGUCGUAAAGCUCUGUCAAGUGGGAAGAAACUGUAAAAUGUUAACAGCAUUAUACACUGACGGUACCACUGAAGGAAGCACCGGCUAACUCCGUGCCAGCAGCCGCGGUAAUACGGAGGGUGCAAGCGUUAUUCGGAAUUAUUGGGCGUAAAGGGCGCGUAGGCGGCCUUUUAAGUCAGAUGUGAAAGCCCGGGGCUUAACCCCGGAAGUGCAUUUGAAACUAAAGGGCUUGAGUAUGGGAGAGGGAAGUGGAAUUCCUGGUGUAGCGGUGAAAUGCGUAGAUAUCAGGAGGAACACCGGUGGCGAAGGCGACUUCCUGGACCAAUACUGACGCUAAGGCGCGAAGGCGUGGGUAGCAAACAGGAUUAGAUACCCUGGUAGUCCACGCAGUAAACGGUGAACACUAGGUGUAGCGGGUAUUGACCCCUGCUGUGCCGCAGCUAACGCAUUAAGUGUUCCGCCUGGGGGAGUACGGCCGCAAGGUUAAAACUC